rnacentral:rRNA from 1 species
AGUAACGCGUGGGUAACCUGCCUUAUACAGGGGGAUAACAGUCAGAAAUGGCUGCUAAUACCGCAUAAGCGCACAGAGCUGCAUGGCUCAGUGUGAAAAACUCCGGUGGUAUAAGAUGGACCCGCGUUGGAUUAGCUAGUUGGUGAGGUAACGGCCUACCAAGGCGACGAUCCAUAGCCGGCCUGAGAGGGUGAACGGCCACAUUGGGACUGAGACACGGCCCAGACUCCUACGGGAGGCAGCAUG